rnacentral:tRNA from 1 species
GUAGUCGUGGCCGAGUGGUUAAUGCGAUGGACUAUAAAUCCAUUGGGCUUUGCCCGCGCAGUUCGAAUACUGCCGACUACG